AAACUAUUUAUGUUGCAGAAUGCCAGAAGAAAUUACAGACAACAAUACUGCUCAGUGCAGUACCCAGACCUAAAAAAAAACCACUGCUCAAGGCAAACUUUUGGGACAGAGUGCUGCAUACAUGGGCUUAUGCACAAACUGAGAUUUUGCAAGUCAACUGUCAAAGUCAUAAAGAGAGAUUUAUAGUGGACAAUGUUGAACAGAGUUGAAGUCCUGGAAUCUCGGUCAACUGCAGAUAGCAGCAUGGCGUAAAGCAGACGUCUUGUUUCCCAGUCCAAUUUUAGUCAGGUAUUCUUGGUGGUAUGAAACUGCAGUCAACACAGGUUUUUAGAGGUCUGCAAGUACAGAGUUUUAAAUUGUGAAAUAGAACCUCUAACCAGUUAGCAGAGUGUGUGUGUGUUAUGCUGUGCUGAGAUAUUGCUGUGACAUAUGGUGCAUUAAGGUCCAUAACCUGGUAUUAUAUGUGUUGACAACUGUACAAGACAUCCUAUUGAAGACAGUUGUGAGUGAGCAACAGCCCAAGACACCUUGUUAAUGCUGCCCUGUUACCUACUGAGUUUCUACAUACAAGUCAAGUAUCCAUCAAAGAUUGGCCAUGGUGUUUACAGAACUGAAAGCCAAGCUGUGAUUUUUGAAAAUUUAUUAUAAAGUUCUAAAUGGAAAUACAAUUUGAAAAGCA
rnacentral:lncRNA from 1 species